GUGUUUGGCAAGUUACCAACAAGCUACCGGACGAUUGGUAACCAACAACUUUUUUUAUCAGCUCUCUCGGGAAUCUAGCGGCAUCGGGAAAAGAAAGGAAUAGUAUAAUUGUCCGGCUACUUCUGUGUGCUUGACCUCGAGGGAACAAUUUAAACAAUGAUGAGGGCCUAUGCGCGAAUCAUUUGAAAUGCUUCUUUUAAGGUUGACAUCCUGUGUGGACCUCCUGAAUUUACACUACAAAAGCUGGUGAUGCUGAGGAAGCUCGAGUGUCUGGAAGCAGAAUCAGUUCUCAAAAGAGAACCGUCCGACUGAAGACCGAAAGACGAGCAGCCGAUGGUUCUUCGUUCCACGGAGCAAGAAUCCAAACCAAAGUAGAGGUUAAACGGAUCCACUCUUUUGUCGCCCUUGAGUGCAGUUCUCACACAGCAAUCCUUGCGACCGGCGUGCAAUGACAAGAGCAUUAUCAGAUCAGCGCGCUUGAUUGAGCCAUUUCUCUGUAAGAGAACGGCCCCUCACUUCUGUACAUUCGCGAACAGCCCCUCGCUUCUUUUCUUUUCUUUUCGACUUUAUCACCUUCUUUUAUUUUAUUUGUUUAUGUUAGAUCCAAUCUGCUCAAUUUGGAUUCUGGCUAUAUUGUACGUUUGGUUCACUAAAAAGCUGUGUCGACACUUCAUAUAGAAGGAUUGCACCUCUUAAAUCCUAUGAGCAAAUGCAUGUAAACUUACUCUGCUAGGGUAACUUAUUG
rnacentral:lncRNA from 1 species